rnacentral:pre_miRNA from 1 species
AAUCUACUCCCUCCAUCCCAAAAUUCUUGUCUUAGAUUUGUCUAAAUACGGAUGUAUCAAGUCACGUUUUAGUAUUAGAUACAUCCGUAUCUAGACAAAUCUAAGACAAGAAUUUCGGGAUGGAGGGAGUAUAAA